rnacentral:lncRNA from 1 species
UGGCUAAUGCAUAUGCCCAUUGUUAGUUGUGACCUGUUUACAGUGAAGGGAAAAUAAGGCAAAAUCAUUUGCUGUUAAAUAAUUCACCCAGUUCUGUUAAUUAAGUGACUCAUCCAAUUUCCUUUCAUUUUAUUGCCCCACUCGCUCGUGCCUUGGACAUAGGAGGUUAAUACUAGUUCUAAUCAUCCAGAGAAAAUAAUGAACUCUGUAAUGAUGGCUAGCAACCUCAAAUAACAAUUUUAGAGUACUGUGAAAUGAAAUUGUGUGUGAGAGAGAAGAAGAAAGUACUAUUCAAAGAACCUUGAAUAUCAGCUUUUACCCCCAGCGAAAGCUCUAAUAUUCUCCACAAGGAGGAAGACAAGGGGCUUGUAUCAAGGACAAACACUCCUGAAGACAUCAAGGUGAUUUCCCCACCUACUUUCUGUUUGAUUGCCUGUUACUACAGCGGCUCCUCGUUUACUUCAGCUUCAGUCCAGCAAUGACUCAGGCUGGCCAGUGUUGUGAGGUCAUAAAGGGUUGAUGCUGUCAAUGAGACAAUCUCAAGGCCGCCUUGAAUUCUUCACUUUAUCCAAGAUCAGGGCUUAUGAGACUACACCACCACAGCAGUUUGCUUCUCUGCAAAAUCUUACGACAAGUCAGAAGAAGAAAAAUAUCUUUGCUACUACUGUCAAGAGGACUUGCUGCUAAAACCUGCAUAGCAAAACUAUUUGAAUGUGAAAAAUCCUCCUCUCACAACACACAUUUACAACAUGCCAGGUGUUUUAAUUCAUUAAAGGAUGAGAAAGUUCAGAACACAAUGUGGAUGAAAAGAGUUUGCAUCAUUAGCCCAGGAAAAAGUUAUGCCCAGGGUUUUUAAUCUUCCUUUCAAAACACUCCAGGACUUGUCUAAUGAGGCGACGGCAUGCAGGUAGAGCAAUGGGAAAGGUGACACACAGGGAGCCAUGCACAGAAACAGAGCAACAUACCAGAGGAUAGGAUGACUGGAAGUUCAUUUUCUGCAAUUCACUUUCCAGAAGCAGGGCCACCCCCAAACUCCCCACAUGGAUUAAACUAUAGGCAGCCCUAGAUAGCA